AGAAAGGUAAGGGGUAGGGGAGAAGGAUUUGGUCAUUAUUUGAUGAACAUUUAUUAAGUAACCACAUUAUAUAGGAAGCACUGGAGAGACAGAAAAGAUCUUAAAGACCUUAAAGCUGUUCCUUGACAUGUUCACCAUCAGGGAGAGAGAUCUAUGUGCACUAAUAGAGUUGUGAACAGAAGUCUCAGGCAACCCAGUGGAAGGAAGAGUGAUUUGUGCGAAAUCAUUUCAGGAAGUCUUCAUCAAAGAGGCGAUGCUCAUGACCAGGUGUGCACAAGCAGUGCACAUGCUGAGCAGAAGCACUCCAGGCAGUGAGUUCACACAUUAUCAAUGUAUUACAAGAAAUAUGAAGUGCUCAAAUCCACACAGCCAAAAGGCCCAGUCUAGCAUCCAGAUUUAUACCUCCAGACUCUCAAGUAGGACCCAAAACAACCUGACACCUACUCU
rnacentral:lncRNA from 1 species